AUCCUGUUAAGUCAGGCAACGAGCGAGACCCACGCCAACAGUUGCCAGCUCGUCCUCCGGGAGUGGUGGGGACGACUAGUUGGGACCGCCUCUGCUAAAGAGGAGGGAAGGAAUGGGCAACGGUAGGUCAGCAUGCCCCGAAUUAGUCUGGGCUACACGCGGGCUACAAUGGGUGGGACAAUGGGUAUCGACACCGAAAGGUGAAGGCAAUCUCCUAAACCCAUCCGUAGUUCGGAUUGUGGGCUGCAACUCGCCCACAUGAAGCUGGAAUCUGUAGUAAUCGUGUCUCAAAAAUGGCACGGUGAAUAUGUCCCUGCUCCUU
rnacentral:rRNA from 1 species